AAGUGCUUACAGCUCUUUUUGAAUUUGUCUAGUAUGUCUUCCGGUUUUAUAUUGGAAGGUCCUC